GCUAAAACAAUUGACAUCAAACAGAUCUGACGACAAUGCAACAAUCUUACAUACAAUUAUUCCUCAAAAUUUGGCACUGUGUUGCGUUCUUAGUGUUGCAACACGCUGUUGUUGUGAGCAUUAAAUGUAAAGGAAACAGCAUGAAACUGAUUGAAGGUGUCUGCUUCAAACUGAUCGACACAAGUCUCACCUAUUCACAAGCAGUGGUGAGCUGCGAGAACCAAGGCUUCUCUAUUGCGACAUUCUACGACAUGGACUUCGCUGCGGUGGCGUUACGCAUCAUUGGCGAGACGGGGACUGUCAGUGGCG